rnacentral:tRNA from 1 species
GCCUGAAAUGCUCAGUUGGUAGAGCGCUUCACUGGAAAUGGAGAAGUGCCGGGUUCGAUACCCGGACCUGGCA